UACGGAGGGUGCAAGCGUUAUCCGGAUUCACUGGGUUUAAAGGGUGCGUAGGUGGGCAGGUAAGUCAGUGGUGAAAUCUCCAAGCUUAACUUGGAAACUGCCGUUGAUACUAUCUGUCUUGAAUGUUGUGGAGGUGAGCGGAAUAUGUCAUGUAGCGGUGAAGUGCUUAGAUAUGACAUAGAACACCAAUUGCGAAGGCAGCUCACUACACAAUUAUUGACUCUGAGGCACGAAAGCGUGGGGAUCAAACAGG
rnacentral:rRNA from 1 species